rnacentral:rRNA from 1 species
CCUACGGGUGACAGCAGUGGGGAAUAUUGGGCAAUGGGCGCAAGCCUGACCCAGCAACGCCGCGUGAAGGAAGAAGGCUUUCGGGUUGUAAACUUCUUUUCUGAGGGACGAAGAAAGUGACGGUACCUCAGGAAUAAGCCACGGCUAACUACGUGCCAGCAGCCGCGGUAAUACGUAGGUGGCAAGCGUUAUCCGGAUUUAUUGGGUGUAAAGGGCGUGUAGGCGGGAAAGCAAGUCAGAUGUGAAAACUCAGGGCUCAACCCUGAGCCUGCAUUUGAAACUGUUUUUCUUGAGUGCUGGAGAGGCAAUCGGAAUUCCGUGUGUAGCGGUGAAAUGCGUAGAUAUACGGAGGAACACCAGUGGCGAAGGCGGCUUACCAAGCUACUUCUGACGUUGAGGCACGAAAGCGUGGGGAGCAAACAGGAUUAGAUACCCCGGUAGUC